GACCUGGACAUGAGCUGAAAAUCUCUUGACCCAAACUGUGGAAAGUGAACUUUUGGAAACUUCUAAAUAGCGGACCUUGCUGAAAAAACAAAACUACUGCUUCACGCAACUUUAGUGUAAAACCCAAAGGGACUGAAUUCUGUCUUCAGUGGGCCGCUGGUCGCUGAGGACCACCUGCUGGUAGGGCCGAGCACCCAGGUGGACGCUAACCCUGCAGUGUCUUGAUGCUUCAUCUGAAGCGUUUUCACUUUCACUCCGUUUCUGCAGCUGGAGAAGCUGAGUGACCCUGUUGACCUUUACAGGGAGCUGUUGGUGACCUCCGCCCAGGCUGACGGUUGGUUUAGUCUGGCGAGCGUCAUCAGUCAUCUAGGCUCUGGAGGGAAUGAAGGACACUAUGUAGGUGACGGGUUGCACCCAGACAUGCAGCUGGACGACCCUGCUGACCUCUGUCUCACCUAUAAUGACGCAAAGGUCACAGAGACAACCGGGGCCACUGUCUGCGAACAACGCCAGCGAACGGCCUACGUCCUGUUCUACCAAAGACGGUUGUAGAGCAUCCAGAUGGUGGGACUUUGUGUCGCAGGCUCCAGAAGAUGAUCCAGCUGCAGUCUAAUAGUCAAAAAUAAUUGUCCUAUAUAUUUAUUCACCACUGUUCUCCUUCACUGUUGUCC